rnacentral:rRNA from 1 species
GAUACGGCCCAGACUCCUACGGGAGGCAGCAGUGGGGAAUAUUGCACAAUGGGCGCAAGCCUGAUGCAGCGACGCCGCGUGAGGGAUGACGGCCUUCGGGUUGUAAACCUCUUUCAGUAGGGACGAAGCGAAAGUGACGGUACCUACGGAAGAAGGACCGGCCAACUACGUGCCAGCAGCCGCGGUAAUACGUAGGGUCCGAGCGUUGUCCGGAAUUACUGGGCGUAAAGAGCUCGUAGGUGGUUUGUCGCGUUGUUCGUGAAAACUCACAGCUUAACUGUGGGCGUGCGGGCGAUACGGGCAGACUAGAGUACUGCAGGGGAGACUGGAAUUCCUGGUGUAGCGGUGGAAUGCGCAGAUAUCAGGAGGAACACCGGUGGCGAAGGCGGGUCUCUGGGCAGUAACUGACGCUGAGGAGCGAAAGCGUGGGUAGCGAACAGGAUUAGAUACCCUGGUAGUCCACGCCGUAAA